UGAAACUGCGAAUGGCUCAUUAAAUCAGUUAUCGUUUAUUUGAUAGUACCUUACUACUUGGAUACCCGUGGUAAUUCUAGAGCUAAUACAUGCAAAAAACCCCGACUUCUGAAGGGGUGUAUUUAUUAGAUAAAAAACCAAUGCCCUUCGGGGCUCUUUGGUGAUUCAUGAUAACUUAACGGAUCGCAUGGCCUUGCGCCGGCGACGGUUCAUUCAAAUUUCUGCCCUAUCAACUUUCGAUGGUAAGGUAUUGGCUUACCAUGGUUUCAACGGGUAACGGAUUUUUAGGGAAAGAUCCCGGAGAGGGAGCCUGAGAAACGGCUACCACAUCCAAGGAAGGCAGCAGGCGCGCAAAUUACCCAAUCCUGAUACAGGGAGGUAGUGACAAUAAAUACUGAUACAGGGCUCUUUUGGGUCUUGUAAUCGGAAUGAGUACAAUUUAAAUACCUUAACGAGGAACAAUUGGAGGGCAAGUCUGGUGCCAGCAGCCGCGGUAAUUCCAGCUCCAAUAGCGUAUAUUAAAGUUGUUGCAGUUAAAAAGCUCGUAGUUGAACCUUGGGCCUGGCUGGCCGGUCCGCCUCACCGCGUGUACUGGUCCGGCCGGGCCUUUCCUUCUGGAGAACCGCAUGCCCUUCACUGGGUGUGCCGGGGAACCAGGACUUUUACUUUGAGAAAAUUAGAGUGUUCAAAGCAGGCCUUUGCUCGAAUACGUUAGCAUGGAAUAAUAGAAUAGGACGUGCGGUCCUAUUUUGUUGGUUUCUAGAACCGCCGUAAUGAUUAAUAGGGAUAGUCCGGGGCGUCAGUAUUCAAUUGUCAGAGGUGAAAUUCUUGGAUCUAUUGAAGACUAACUACUGCGAAAGCAUUCGCCAAGGAUGUUUUCAUUAAUCAGUGAACGAAAGUUAGGGGAUCGAAGACAAUCAGAUACCGUCGUAGUCUUAACCGUAAACUAUGCCGACUAGGGAUCGGGCGAUGUUUCUUUCUUGACUCGCUCGGCACCUUACAAGAAAUCA
rnacentral:rRNA from 1 species